rnacentral:rRNA from 1 species
UACAUGCAAGUCGAACGAUCCUUUCGGGGAUAGUGGCGCACGGGUGCGUAACGCGUGGGAAUCUGCCCUUGGGUUCGGAAUAACUUCGGGAAACUGAAGCUAAUACCGGAUGAUGACGAAAGUCCAAAGAUUUAUCGCCCAGGGAUGAGCCCGCGUAGGAUUAGCUAGUUGGUGGGGUAAAGGCCUACCAAGGCGACGAUCCUUAGCUGGUCUGAGAGGAUGAUCAGCCACACUGGGACUGAGACACGGCCCAGACUCCUACGGGAGGCAGCAGUAGGGAAUAUUGGACAAUGGGCGAAAGCCUGAUCCAGCAAUGCCGCGUGAGUGAUGAAGGCCUUAGGGUUGUAAAGCUCUUUUACCCGAGAUGAUAAUGACAGUAUCGGGAGAAUAA